GCGAGAAACCUUUACAAUGUGCGAAAGCAUGAUAAGGGAACUCCGAGUGCCAGUAUCUAAUACUGGCUGUCCUUGUGCCUAAAACGCACAAGAUAGCAAGGGCCGGGUAAGACCGGUGCCAGCCGCCGCGGUAACACCGGCGGCCCGAGUGGUAGCCGCUAUUAUUGGGUCUAAAGGGUCCGUAGCCGGUUCGAUAAGUCCUCUGGGAAAUCUGGUUGCUUAACAAUCAGACUGCCAAGGGCUACUGUCGAACUUGAGACCGGGAGAGGUAAGAGGUACUUCAGGGGUAGGA
rnacentral:rRNA from 1 species